rnacentral:misc_RNA from 1 species
GUGAAGUGCAAGGAGAGGUAGAUUUUGAACUCUCAUUUGAUGUUCUUGACCACUCAUUGCAUUUGUUUCUGAGUGGACUAAAUAGUGGACUAAUCCCUUGUUCUUCAUCAUCAUUUAACUGAGAUGAGGUAGGGGAUGAUCCACAACUUGAUCUUGUAGAGAAAUUAGGUGAAUCUAAUGGCAAAGGCAAAGGAAAAACAGGAUGAAGUUUCUUCUCUUUUGUGUAUGUGUAGGAAUAGUAACCAUAAUUAGUUGCAAAAGAAGUUGGUGAAUUUUUUGGUAUAAAGAUUGAUUCAUCAAAACUUUUUGGCUUAUUUACUCUAUUCUUCUUGUAAUUUCUUGGAGGAGUUUGUUCAAACCAAGAAGCCAUUUUAACUCUUUG